rnacentral:rRNA from 1 species
AUACGUAGGUGGCGAGCGUUGUCCGGAUUUACUGGGCGUAAAGGGAGCGUAGGCGGAUUUUUAAGUGGGAUGUGAAAUACCCGGGCUCAACCUGGGUGCUGCAUUCCAAACUGGAAGUCUAGAGUGCAGGAGAGGAGAGUGGAAUUCCUAGUGUAGCGGUGAAAUGCGUAGAGAUUAGGAAGAACACCAGUGGCGAAGGCGACUCUCUGGACUGUAACUGACGCUGAGGCUCGAAAGCGUGGGGAGC